GUCCCUUGGAUCCUUGGGUCCCGCAGUGUCACAAUGGCGCCGUGGUCCCCCAAGGCCCUGCAGUGUCCCAGUGGAUCCUUGGUUCCAUGAGGUCUGGCAGUGCAGCAACGCUCUCCUUGGUUCCCACAGUCUUUUAUACCUCUCACUGUCAGAUAAUAGAAGGACACCUGGCAGAUGAAGGGGAGUGGGAGUGGAUAUCUACUCGAGGAGGGAAUAAUAAAAAUUCCUUCUGGCCCCCACUCCCCAGCCAGGUGCCACUUCAGAACAGCUAUGAGCCCCUGGAUCUGGAGAGUCAGCCACAUGAUUUAGAAGAAAAUUAUCUGCCCAGUGAGUCUCCCAAAUUAUGAUUCAUGUCUGAGAAGGAUUACCACCUGUAACAUCAAAAAGGAAAGAAGUAUAAUCGUGGGGAGCAUUAUGACACCUCAGAGCCCCAUGGAACCAAGGGAACAUGGAACAGGUCUGGUUGGCUUGGCCUCCCAGGGGCCACCUGACAGGUCCAGCUGAUCUUGGGAUAUCAAGGGCUGCCUCUCAUCAGCUCCUGCAGCACUGGGACUCCAUGAUUUCAUUGCUAUGGAAAAGAACCAUCCGUCUUUUCAGGUGACCAUAGCCAAAAUUGGUACUCUCCCUAAAAAAUUUCCUGUAGGCAAGGAUAUCUCCCAGAACAAAACCUGCCAGCUCUGGCUGGCCUUGGCCUCUGGUGAUCACCUCUCAUCUUCCCCUGAAACACUGCGGCUGUUCCUUCCUUCCGAUGGAAAAGAAUGAGCUUUCAUGCCAAGGGCCAUGGCCAAAAUUAGAAUUUGGCCUCCCAAAUUCCGUAUAUCUAGGGAUUGCUCCCAGACAAAAGCAGCCAGGACAGACAGGCCAGGCAGGCCCUGUCCUCUGGUGAUUUUCUUAGACUCCAAACUGAAUGUUUUCAUUUUAAAACACCUUGGGCGGAGCCCCCAGAGAUCUCCCAAAAAAGGGGUUUUGAGGCCUCAGGCCCAUGACCACUCCAUAUGGAGAAAGGAGCUCUGUGCUCUGUGCUGAUGUGGGGGUUUUGCAUCAUGGAAGUGAUGUUCGAAGAGAAGCUGCUAGCAGAUUCCUCUGUGUCUAAUAAAAAAAAAUCAGUAAUA